UGACUGAUCCGAACGGUCGCGCGGUAUGGCGCCGAAAGGUAUUACCGUGAGGAAAGUCCGGGCUUCACAGGGCAAGGAUAACGGAUAACGUCCGCCGAAGGCGACUUCAGGGAAAGUGCAGCAGAAAUAAACCGCCGCGCAAGCGGCAAGGAUGAAAAGGCGAGGCAAGAGCUCACCGUCCCGUCGGUGACGACGGGAGCCAUGUAAACCCUAUCCGAAGCAACGUCCCGCGUUUACGGUCUGCCCGGCCGAGCUUACGCUGACGCGAGACGGCAGUCGGAAUAUCCGACGAGCCGCUUGGCAACAAACGGCAAAGAUAGAUGACCGUUCUCGACAGAACCCGGCUUACAGGAUCAGUCAGUUA
rnacentral:RNase_P_RNA from 1 species